rnacentral:rRNA from 1 species
AUGAAACAACCUGAUGGCAUCAAUAUCCCCGAUGGCGAGUUUUAUCCAGGGGAUGCUGGCUAUGCAUGUCAGCCUGGUGUUCUUCCACCCUUCAGGAAAACAAUACACCAUUUGAACGAGUCCCUUUCAGGAACUAUCCUAGACUCCACAUGAACUGUUUAAUCUUACUCACCUAGGCUUAGAGUGAUGGUUGAGAGGGCAUUUGAAGCUCUCAAGAAUAGGUUUAAGAUACUAGAUCAGAAGCCAUUCCACCCUUACCCUACCCAGGUUAAGCUUGUUCUUGCAUGUUGAAUCAUUCAUAACUAGAUCCUACAAUGGGGUUGUGAUGAACUUGUGCCAAAGGAGGAAGAUGUGACGCCUGAUGAUGUUGUCAGCUCGGACCAUGGCGCGAAGGCAUUUGACAACGAAGCCUUGAAGAACAAAAGGAUGAAGUGAGCUCAGACAAUGUGGGAUAACAGAGAUCAGACAAGAAUCUGA